AUGGAGCCCACAUGAUAAAUAAUGUGGAAGCGAAGUGGCCUGGGUCUGUGUAUGACUCACGAAUGUUUUGUGAGUCUACACUGAGUGCCAGAUUUGCCCGUGGAGAGUUUGAUGGUUAUCUACUCGGAGACAGAGGGUACCCCUGCCAGCGCUAUCUGCUGACCCCUUACCCUGACCCUGACCCUUGCCCACAGUAACACUACAACUUGGCUCACUGCAGGACACGAGCCAGAGUGGAGAUGACCAUCGGCAUACUCAAGGCCCGGUUCCAGUGCCUUCGUAGGCUCAGGGUCACCCCGGAAAGGGCUUGUGACAUUAUAGUGGCAUGUGUGGUUCUCCACAACAUUGCCACUAUUAGAGGAGAACAAUGUCCUACUCUUUCCCCCAAUGAUCCAGAUAAUAAUCCUGACCCCCCUGCUGAUGCACGAGAUGGAAGAGCUGUUAGAGACAUGAUAUGCUUCAAUCAUUUCUAACUGACUCUGCCUUUUUUCUGUUGGCUAUAAUGGAGGUCAAAUUUUAAGAUAACCAGAAAACACAAAUUUGGAGACUUGUAUGUAUAAAAGGCAUUUAGGUGUUGCUUUCAUAUAGACAAUUUUAAAUACUGGCAGUGUUGGGAUUUUUCUUUGUUUAGCAGAUUUCCCUAAUUACUUAAAUAUAUCUAUCACAUGUUGAAUGCAGCCACUAAAUGCUGUUUAAUGAGGGCAGGCUAAACAACAUCACAAUUGCUUGUACUUAAAUUAUACCUUAUCUGUUUGAACUACAUUUUUAUAUUUCAUUUUUAUUUGCAGCCAAGUCCGUUUGGGGCCUGUUGGGUUGCACCUGUGCGCACAAACACACAUAUGGAAUAUAAUUGUUGAAUAAGUGGAACAUUCAAGAGAAAACAUUUUCUUUUUCUCAAAUACUCAGCUAUUUUUUUCCACGCGAGCUCCCGCUUUUUGGCUGCUGCCAUAGUAUUGCUUUUUAGUAAAAAUAUAUGCUCGCUUUCUGCAUAUAUGCAGUCAUUAAGAUUUGCAACUCCGCUGGGGAGAAGUAGGAGGAUCGAGGCUUGUUAGUACUUGUUGCCAUGGUGAAUCAUGUUAUCUGUGUUCCAUUGAUGAGGGCUUUUUAUAUCCUCAUGCACGAGCUUCACUCAGAGUUACCUUGACUCAGAGUUGAUUGCUAAGCGUUAUCACCUGUUCUGAAACCGAAAAUUCUGAGUUUUACAGCUCAGAGUUGGUCAACCUAGAGUUAAGGUUUUAACUUAGAGUUUGUUGAACCUGCUUUCUGAAACGGGCCCCAGUGCCCUAUACCACGAAGCUCGCUGAACAUACCCAGGCUUUCUUGGGAAAACCUGGCUCGACAGAGCCGCAACUCGCAAUCAGAGUUAAAUGGUACCACGAAGCUCACUUUAGAUUCAAUUAGUAGAACCUGGUUUUCCGCUUUAGGUUCAGUGAGCGUUCACGUGAAAGGGGCGUUUUUUGCGUCAUUUUUCUCACCUUUACGAUAGAUCAAGCAGUCUAUAUGAGUAUAAGUGAAAAGAUUCUGCAUAUUGUCUGUAAAAUAACUAUGCCAAAUGCAGAAUUGUUCGCCAUUAAUCCAAAUAGAAUGAUGAUGAUUUAAAAAUGCAUAAGCAACGUCCAUCCUGCCUUAUU